rnacentral:rRNA from 1 species
UACGUAGCGUGCAAGCGUUAAUCGGAAUUACUGGGCGUAAAGCGUGCGCAGGCGGUUUUGUAAGUCUGACGUGAAAUCCCCGGGCUCAACCUGGGAAUUGCGUUGGAGACUGCAAGGCUAGAAUCUGGCAGAGGGGGGUAGAAUUCCACGUGUAGCAGUGAAAUGCGUAGAGAUGUGGAGGAACACCGAUGGCGAAGGCAGCCCCCUGGGUCAAGAUUGACGCUCAUGCACGAAAGCGUGGGGAGCAAACAGG